GCAUUAUGAACAAUCAUUCUAACAUAUAUAACAUUGUUGGUUAGUUUAAUUAUCUUUGUUGUCGGUCCAUGGGGUUGAUAUUAUGACUACGUCCUUCUGAACCUCUAAUUAACUAUCUAACUUAGACCAAUAACUACAUCAUUAAGUGGGGAUGCGAGAACUAAGUUUAAUGCAUUCAUAUUUUAUCCCGUAAUUGAAGAAAAUAGGGCAC
rnacentral:lncRNA from 1 species